AGAAAGUUAACAGAGAAUCCAUAAUGAAAGUUCAUUCCAGUUAAAUAAAGAGUCUUAUUCCAUUGGUGAUUGUGUCUAUCUCUCCCCUGAUACAUAUUCAUUUCCUAAAGUUAAGAAAACCAGUGGAACUAAUACUGCCAAUAAGAAACAAAAGAAGGAAGAGGAAGAGUUUGAUGAGUUUGAAUAUCCUGAGAAGUAUCGAAAGGUUUCUGAUUAUGUCAAAGGCAGUAACAUUGACUCUCCUAGCCCGUUUCAAAUUGGUCAAAUAUUAGAGAUAUUUUCUAAAUCAUUGACUGAUUGAUGGAGCAUCAGUAGGAUUAGGAUUAGUAACAACAGUACCUGGAAUAAAUAAUA